UGUGGAACACAUGCCACUGAGACCCGCAGUGGGGUGACCAGGGGUGGCAGGAGCCAAACUGAGUUUCUGAGCCAAAGCAGACCCUCUUGGUGUGCCAGCCUUUGCAGCUACUUGUGAUGAGUACAGCUGUUCCUUGGGCGGUAGAACCAUAACCCUUAGGAAAAGCCCCUUCCUCUUAGGAAUAAAGAAACCACUGAUUUGAUAGACUUGCUCUGAUUACCGUGCAAGUAGCCAUAUUUUGGAGCUGACCAGGACGAUUCUUUUAUUUGAACUAUUGACCAUUUCUUUCCUGUGAGACGCAGGGGAUGGAAAUGAAACUAAACGGUGCCUGUGGCAGAUGCUGCUUCCCAACCAAUUAGAAGCGAGAGUGAAAACAUCCACACCAGGUCUCCUAGUAGGACAAGGCAAGCCCACCCAGCAAGCAGAACCACAUGGCAAGACGCUGAGAAGGAGGGAUAUGAGCAUUGGCUGGUGGCUCCAGAAGCUGAUGCCCUGGACAGCUGACUCCCUAUUUAACAAGAGUGCCAUCUUGCCAGUCUCUUCACUACCCUCCUAUCCUGUGAUCAGUACCUCCUAUCCCCAGCACGUGUGUCCAACCAGGCCAGCUGGUUGGCUCAUGGGGGAGCUUCAUUGAACUGGAAGUUGUGCCUGCUGCACCUUUUGUGUGUGGAAAGAUUGAGUUCACCUAGACCUCCUGCUCAUCCCCUCCCUCCACAUGAAGCCUCCCAAGGACAAGGCUGGUCAUCCUGGACUGAAGAGACCCCACACACAGCCCAGCCCUGGCUCCCAAGCCUGCCACCCAACCCCACAUUUUUGGGUGUGAGAAUAUAUAUCUCCCCUUCUCCUCUCUCUUCUCUAUGUGGAUAGCCAAUGUCAAUCAUCACCUGAGGUGUCUCUAAGGUCUUUGGAAGGCAACUAUUUGCCCUACCAUGGACAGACUUGGUGACUUCAAGAUGACCAAGAGCAGCAUUUAUAUCGCCAGGAUCAGUAAAAUGAGAGCAGAACUUCCCCAACCGGGCAAAAGUGCUGUAUGUUGUUCUAGUAUUUGUUUUAUUUAUUAGUAUACUCCCCUAUUUAUUUAUUUAUUUAUUUAUGGAACCUGUAUUUAUUAUAUAUCAGAAAAUCUUCUUCCAUCUUUCAAACAUCCGCUCCAAAUUUGUCUUGUUGGACCCCGCCCCCACCCCCCACAGAGCACAGUAAACAAUUCCUCUUUGAAGCCACAAAAAAAAGAGGGAAUUUCUUCUCCCUAGUCCCAAAUACUUCUACCCUAGCCAGAUUUUUCAACCCAAAAUAAGAUCAGAAUCUACCAGCUAGGUGUAAGCUGUAUAACCACGCAAACCAGCACAGGCUCCGCUGCCUGGACAGAAACAGUCUUCCAACCCUUGAGUUUACAUGGUUUUUCCUUCCACUCCUUCACAAACUCAUGCAAGACUAACCACCUGAUUUCCAGCCUGACUAAGACUGGGCUUCUCAUUCUGCUCUGGUGCAGAAUGUUCGACACCAGGUGCACAUUAGAAUCUAUGUUGGGCGCUUAAAGCCACCUGCCUGGUUUCCACCUCAAUGUGCCCAUAGCAGAAUCUCUGAGUGGCUGAGCAGCAGAGAUCUUCUUAGUUGCCCAGAUUACUCUAACUUGUAAAUGUAAUUGAUAAAAAAAAUUUCAACUGUCUUCUUCAUCCCCAACCACCUCUAAGAUCCCUUCCUCCUUUAGUUCCCAAGCUUCCUCUGGACUCCCCAUUUCUCCAGUCCCCUUUCUUCAUGAAAUCUUCCCCUCAUUAAGCACCAUCAACAUAAACAGACCCGAAAGAGGUGACUGGUCCUGAGAGUCACACCAGAAGCCAGUGCCUGCACUUGCCUCUCUUAGAAGCAAAAGCUUGUUCCCUGCCCAGAUUCACCUUCCAUCUGCACUCUCCCCAUGACACAUGCCUCCCUCCAAAAGGUUAAAGAUUGAUAUGGUUAUUCCUGGUCCUGCAUCCCAAUCUUAAGGAAAAGCUCACUCCAGUCUUUAUAAGCCAAGGGUUGGCUGUUUCUGCAGAGCAACAUGAAAUACCUGAGGGUAAUUUCCUGGUAACAGGAAGGGUUAUCUUGUCCCCAAAACAGUCCCUUACCCAAUGACCUGAUAGCAACCCACUAGCAUACAGAUGAUAGAUGACUGAGACUUCUCACCCCUCAUGUUGACAAGUUCUCAAACGAUGAAUAUAAGUGAAGGGGUGUGUGUGUGUGUGUGUGUGUGUGUGUGUGUGUGUGUGUGUGUGUACUGACAGUUUUGGCAUUUACUUGAGAACAAUCAAGAACUUGUGCUGUCUUUCACUCAGUGGAUUCAAUUCACUCCUUUCCUCAAAGACCCAAGUGAAUUCCAUAGUAGUGCUUCAUACAGAAUGGUGUAAUGUCUGAGAACUGCCGGGCAUGUUAGAGACUGUAUAUGUUGUAUUCACAAGAGAGUGCCCAAGAUAGAAAGAAUUCAUUUUCAUAUUCCACCUCCAGCAUCUACCAGGUUCCCAGAGCAAGUAGAUUUCUCCUGCAUUCAUAGCACCAUGCCUUCUUGCCCCAUUAAUCAGACUGUCCUGCACCAAGUCCCAUCUCUCAGGGUCCUGCUCUCUGAUAGGCAACAGUUCAGUCAGUGGGUGCUAAAGAGUUGAGUGUUACACUUCUUGGGUGACCUUUACCUUUUAAUUGGGGCUAUAGACAAUGCCUUAAUCUGAAGGAGUAGCUUGAAUGCUGGGAAUUUCAGGUGCAGAAGUGGGCCAGUAAGAGAGAUUAGUUUUUUUCUUAGGAGGGCAUUUUAGAGCCUCCUCUUCCCCAUACCCAUCUUUAAAGUCAGCUCAUACAUACAUGAGCACAAACAAGCACACUUACCUACAUCCACAUCCCAUAAUUUUGGAAUACCUCCCUUGCAUUGGCCCUAUCUUUAAACAUAAAAAUAAAUUAGAAAUGAACCAGCUAAAUUAAUUCA
rnacentral:lncRNA from 1 species